rnacentral:tRNA from 16 species
AGGGCUAUAGCUCAGUGGUAGAGCGCCUCGUUUACACCGAGAAUGUCUACGGUUCGAAUCCGUAUAGCCCUA